AGUGAACGCUGGCGGUAGGCCUAACACAUGCAAGUCGAACGGCAGCACAGUAAGAGCUUGCUCUUACGGGUGGCGAGUGGCGGACGGGUGAGGAAUACAUCGGAAUCUACUUUUUCGUGGGGGAUAACGUAGGGAAACUUACGCUAAUACCGCAUACGACCUACGGGUGAAAGCAGGGGAUCUUCGGACCUUGCGCGAUUGAAUGAGCCGAUGUCGGAUUAGCUAGUUGGCGGGGUAAAGGCCCACCAAGGCGACGAUCCGUAGCUGGUCUGAGAGGAUGAUCAGCCACACUGGAACUAGGACACGGUCCAGACUCCUACGGGAGGCAGCAGUGGGGAAUAUUGGACAAUGGUCGCAAGCCUGAUCCAGCCAUACCGCGUGGGUGAAGAAGGCCUUCGGGUUGUAAAGCCCUUUUGUUGGGAAAGAAAAGCAGCAGGUUAAUACCCCGCUGUUCUGACGGUACCCAAAGAAUAAGCACCGGCUAACUUCGUG
rnacentral:rRNA from 1 species